rnacentral:lncRNA from 1 species
CAAACAUGCAUAAAGUUAGCGUGUCGAAGCGUGUGAGGCAGAUUUUCCUAAUUUUUUACCCGCGAUAUGGCCGUAAAAUCCUGUGAGACCAGAUUUGAUUUAAAGAGAAGCAGUGAAGUAAUUUGGAUAUGAAUCAAUCUCUGAAGCUAUGCUUUGCACUUCUUGAGCGGUCACCCAUUUCAUAACGUCAUCGCAGAGACGUCCUUGUCACCAAUGAAAAAAACAUCCAAUUAAAAACAAAAUAAUAAUAUUGAUGUACAUAUUGUGUGGCCUGGGUGUUUGUUCCCAAAAUUUGGCACAGAGUGAAUGGUGAUGGCUGCUGGCUUCAUUUUGAGGUGAAAUUCCGUCAAAAAAUGAGAACAUAAUUCGGAUUACCACUGGCUGUGAACGUUUCUUUUCUCUUUGAAACAUCAUCUCUAUGUCAAGAAUUUAUUUGCUUUAAUGCAGAGCAUUUUCCUGCAGACACGAACACCUUACCUCAAAAUCAAUGUUCAAAUCAGUUCUCCCUAUUCGUCGCUUGCAUUUCCAUCAGGAUAUAGUCUUCCCCCUGUCUCCAUCAAGAAAUAGUCUACUUCCUUUUUACACCAGGAAAUAGUCUUCUCCAUUUCUUUCACCAAGGAAUAGUCUGGUCCUUUUCUCCACCAGGAAAUAGUCUGGUCCUUUUCUCCCAAUAUCCCCGUCUGCUUGCGCCAUUCUCGGAUACGUUCAGGAUACAUCCCAACAUGCCGUGCAGCUUCCUCACCAGAAUCUUCUUUGGCUAAUGCCACCGCAAGACGUUUCAAAAUGUCACUUUGGAGUUCUUUAUAGUGAGGAAUAAACAGUUUAAAAACAAUUUAAACAGGUCAAGAUUCACUGAAGGUCAGAGGUGACGAGGCUCGUGUGUGUGUCAUUGUCUGCAGUGAGGAGAGCCCAAUCCCUCUGGAGAAACUCUCCCUGUCGGAUCCUCCUGCGUGUUCGGAGCGGCCCGCCGAUGACCGGCCUGCAAACGCACACGUCGACAGGAAAGAGGAAGUGGCGCCGGCGCAGGAAGUGUCUGUCAACGGGCCGGUUUGAGCGAGCGCAAGGCGGUCUCUGCUUCUACGGCGUUUUCACUCUGCCACGCUAUCGGACAUGGACACUGCCAACCGACGACAAAGCGGACCGUCAAACCCAGAAACGCCGGAGCCGAGCGGCGAGGAAUCAUGUCAAAGCCUUUUUUUCUGAUGUUGCACAUAAUUCUGUGCUCUUUUAAUGUAGCAGCGUUCUUUAAAAAAAAACAACAAAAAAAAAAACAAACAAACCACAGAAUCCGAGGGGAACGCCGGCCUGCUUAUUUUUUUAAAGUCCUCAAAGAUUUCUCCGGUCUCCCCGUGGGUUGGAUUUUACCCGGUCGCCCCUGAAAGGAAAGCACAGGCUGACUUUUAAUGAUGCCUCAACAAUAAAUACUUGUUUUUUUUGAAAAUAUUCUUUUUUUUUUUCCUCUUCAGGCUUAAUAAAAGCACUUAUGCAGCCAUUUCCUGUACAUUCUAGCACAGCGUUGCUUUCAUGUGUGCUGGCUGGUCUUCAUGCAGGUUUGUUCCCGUCUUGCCAACAGAAGAGGAGGAAGGCAGCUCCGCCAACUGCUCCAAUAGUAUUACUGUCCUCUGCUCGCGUGCAAUAAUGUCAGCGCUUUAUUUAAAGUCAAAUUUUUUUCUUUCUUUAAGAAUCAUCAAACCGUUUGUGGAGUUUUCUAAUUUUUUUUUUUUUUUUUUUCCCCUUUUCUGUGCAUCUUGAAGCGGUUUUCUGUCGACCUAGCUAGUGAGCAAAGACCUUCUGAUUGUAAUGAUCUUUGAGUUCUUCAUGCUGUCUCCCUGAAAUCAACCAAACCUUAUCUACCUAUACACAAAUAUUAUCUACACUUAAAAAAAAAAAAGGUAAUUUAAAAAGCAAUUCCCCAUUCCUGUCGUCUGUUCUUUUGUUUUUCUUUUCUCUUGGAGAUCUCUGCCGCUGUAGUCGGGCAGCGUUCUGGUUCUGUUCCAACAACCAAUCGGGCUCCAUUUCUCGGAAUGUGGCGCCAACACAAAAGAAUGGAUUCAUCCUACCUUGUAUCAAUAGUUCAGGUUGGUGGUGAUAGUAUAAUGAUAUGGGGGAUACACUUUGGGCUCUACAGUACCAGUUGAGGAUGGUUGCAACACCACAGUAUUGUUGCUGACCAUGUCCAUCCCUGUAUGACCACAGUGAACCAUCUCAUGGAUAAGGCGCCAUAUUGGAAAGCUGGAUCAACUCGACUGUUUUCUUGAACAAUGGGUCCACUGGACCUUUGGGAUGUAGUUAAACAGGAGAUCAGCAUCAUGGAUGUUCAGCUGACAAAUCUGUAGGAACUGUGUGAGGCUAUCAUGUCAAUAUGGACCAAAAUCUCUGAGGAAUGUUUCCAGUGAGACGGUUUUGAAGGUCCAACUCUGUACUAACAAGGUGUACCUGAUGGUGGCCGGUGAGAUUUUUAAAUUAAUUUUGUGUGUGUGUGUGUGGACCAAAUAAACAUCCGGC